rnacentral:misc_RNA from 1 species
GUGAAUUAAACGGGAUUGAAUUCGUUCAUCCCAAUUCUUUUAUCUAAACCCGUCAUUGCUUGGGCAACCGAGCAUGACAAAAACCUUUUUUUAUUAAAACUCGUUUUUAAUAUAAAGUCAGUGUUGACUCUAAACCCACAAACAAAACAAAUAAAGA